rnacentral:tRNA from 1 species
GCACAGGUGGGUGAGUGGUUAAAGCCAACAGACUGUAAAUCUGUCCCUCCUAGCGAGGUACGAAGGUCCGAAUCCUUCCCUGUGCACCA